rnacentral:rRNA from 1 species
UACGUAGGUGGCGAGCGUUGUCCGGAAUUACUGGGUGUAAAGGGAGCGCAGGCGGGGAGUUAAGCUAGAUGUGAAAUACCGCAGCUCAACUGCGGGGCUGCAUCUAGAACUGGUUCUCUUGAGUGGAGUAGAGGUAGGCGGAAUUCCUAGUGUAGCGGUGAAAUGCGUAGAUAUUAGGAGGAACACCAGUGGCGAAGGCGGCCUACUGGGCUUUAACUGACGCUGAGGCUCGAAAGCGUGGGGAGCAAAC